UACAGAGGUCCCGAGCGUUGUUCGGAUUCACUGGGCGUAAAGGGUGCGUAGGUGGCGAGGUAAGUCGGAUGUGAAAGCUCGGAGCUCAACUCCGAAAUGGCAUUGGAAACUACCUUGCUCGAGGGUUGGAGGGGGGACUGGAAUUCUCGGUGUAGCAGUGAAAUGCGUAGAUAUCGAGAGGAACACCAGUGGCGAAGGCGAGUCCCCGGACAACACCUGACACUGAGGCACGAAAGCCGGGGGAGCAAACAGG
rnacentral:rRNA from 1 species